GGCCUGAUGGUCUAGUAGUAUGAUUCCUUGUUAGGGUGGCAAUCUAUCUUCCGUCAUCGAGGAGGUCCCGGGUUCAAUUCCCGGUCAGGCCC